AUGCAAUCCUACGAUUUAAGUAGUUAAAUUUAAUUUGCAACGAGGAACCACCACGCGGCUGCCGCUCAGCAGCCGGCGAGGGGGCCGACGAAGCAGGCCACGCCGCCGGAUGGGAGAAGGAGGAGGAGCCACGGGAGCUGCGGAGGCGGCGGCACGCGGCGGCGAAGUAGACGCGGUCGGCGAGGCAGCGCAGGUGGAGGAAGACCACGCCCAGGAGCUCCGACCACGACGGCGCCAUCAGCGCGCGGAGUGACCACGCGGCGGGGGAUCGAGGCCGGAGAGACUGCACUUGCGCAGUGCAAGAAGCAAGGGAAUGCUCGGUGCUCAUGGAGUACUAGUAGCCCCAGCUCCCAGCUAUUUUUAUUAUUAGCCAAACUCCCAGCUAUUUUUAACUAAUCGAUUUUGGGUCUGAUGCGAAUCGAAUUGGUUGGGUUCGAGUUCAAAUCAAUCUGUUCUACGCACGGUUCAUAGGGAAAGAUUGAGUCUAAAGUAGCUUGCAUAGCUUAGUUCGAGUUCAUGAUCUGUUACCCGUCUGCUUCCUCUGUCCUCUUCUAACGCACAGCGGCUCCAGGGCCCUAGCGCCACGCGUCCAGGCGUUGGUCGCGGCGGCGUCCAGCAGCGGCGCUACCCGACGCCCGACAGCGUCGGAAGGAUCGAGCGGGAAAAAAAUUACCAGGGAAGGAACAUACGUGGGCCCGCUUUGAAUAAGGAAAGUUUCUUGGCUUCCUAACUGUUUUGGAAGUUUUUUAGAUUAUACCUGGACUCUUGAAGUUGCUCUAAAAACUUUUCACGCCACCACUACUCUAUUUAAAAAAGAAUUACAUUCUUUAUGGGACGAAAAGAGUAAUAUUGCGAUACAUGUCCCAUUUACACUUGUGCUGACGACGGAAGAGUCGAUAUGGGAUCUUUCGGUACAAGUUCGAUAUGGGAUCUUUCGGUACAAAUCCAUCAUUGUAAGAAAUAUUUAGAAUGAGAAUACCUAUGAAAAUAUAUUUUGACCACUGAUUUCUCUUCAUUUAUAUUUUGACAACUUUUAUACUAUGAGCAUUAUAUGGUUUAACUACUUUUUUGUUAAAGUUUGCAAAGCUAACAUUUCGAAAACAAAAUACGCCUUAUGAAUAGAGUAACUGGUAUUCAUGUCGAUAAUUGCUUAGGUAUUCGUUCGUGAUUGCAGGUAUUCGGUUCCACCAAGAGCUAGCGUGAUGCUGAAUUUACGCACAGGUAUUUGCGUCGAUUGUCAAAAGCAAUCGGAGGCGAAGCUAAAGUCGGAGGUGAAGUUGAACGUCUGGUUCAAAUCCUUCUUCCUGGUGAACGAACAUCAAGCGUUAAUUAAGCCAGCAGCAGCAGCAUCCAAAUCAUCAGUUUCCAUCGGUUGACGCCUCGAAGAUUGACGACGGCAGGGAGCUCGAUCAGGCAACGUACACGUCGGCCAUGCAGAAGGCGUACUUCUUCUGCAGCUGGGCGGUGAGCUCGUCGGUGAGGCGCCGGAGGUCGGCCUCGAGGUCCUGCUGCACGGCCGGCAGCGGCGGCGCGCCCUGGAGCACCUGCGCGAGCGGCGGCGGCGCGCGGUCGAGCGGCACGGACGGCGGCAGCUGCUGGCACCGCGCCGGGGGGGGCAGCGCCAGGAGCAGCGCCGCGGCGGCGAGGAGGAGCGGCAGGGCGCGCAUGGUGUGGCCGCCGCGGGUCAACCACGGCCACGGCGCCGUCGAUCGAUCAUGUACCGGAGGAACCAGGGAGAUGAUGGGGGGAGGGGAGGGGAUGAACUGCUGGCCUGGGGAUAUAGCCGGUCAGCUUCUUGCCGAGACGUGUCAGUGUUCACGGCAGAGACCGGGCCUCUGUCGGACACGGUCAGAUAGAAGAACCUCCACACGAAAUUUCGGACAGUGCAAAAAUCUUAUCUCAGGCGGUUCUGAUUUCGGGGGGUCUCUCACUUUGACCGUGCUUCUUUGCAAUCCGAUGCAGGAGGAUUCAGGAGAUCAAGAAAUGGUUUUCUAUAGCGGCGGCGAAUCGAAUGCUCCUACAGGGGUGGGUUUUUUUUUUCCCUAGUUCAUUGCAGAGUAGUAUGGGAUUGUCCUUGCUGCACGUGUGUUGUCAACGGUGUUCGUGUCUCGGUCAGCAGCUCGAUCAUCAGGAGCAGAAACGGCUGAAGAACUUGCAUAAACAAAAGAGAGACGCGCAUUCCCUGAAGUUUCUCGACUAAUAUAUAGUAAGUUAGUCGCAAAAGAUGAUUGGUUUUGGUGGAGUUCGGGUUGUUGGUCGUCAUUCAGAGUUCGGGUAGCAGGAAAAAGAAGCAGGUGAACGAGCUUCUCAUAGCCAUGAACAGAAUCUGUGCCUCUGUCUGUAGUUGUACAAUAGUAGACGCAUAGCAAUCUUCUCGUGCGUGCGCAAGUGUGUCCUUGUAACGAGCGGGGAAAAUUACAUGAAACAAGAAGAGUAAAGGUGGGAUCAACAAA